UUUAUUUUUCGGCAGUCUGGCAGCACUGCAUGCAGUGAGUGUUGCAAAUUGCCACAAUUUAAAAAUCUUUGGUAGUUACUGGAUUCAUUUUCAGUAUUUUGGUAUAUUUUUUUACUAAAAAUUCAAUAUUUUUUUGCUUACAAGAAACAUCCAGCAGCAGUCUUGGUUUUUAACAAGUCGUUCGUGGGUCGUGUAAAUAAUCCCAAAUGUUGCUAACUGAAACUGACUGAAAUAAUAUGGGACUAUAGCCAACAUAACUGUGCUCCUCUCGCUGCAGUGGCCGUGUCGCAAAAGAGUCCAACUACCAAUGCCAAAUGGGACAAAGCGAACGCGUGAAUGCCGCCCUGAUAAACGGAGAGGCGUUGCAAACGAAUUAAAUUGAAUUAGAUAUCAAAUUAUAAGAGAACCAAAAAGAAAAAGUAAAA